GACGAACGCUGGCGGCGUGCUUAACACAUGCAAGUCGAACGGAAAGGCCCUGCUUUUGUGGGGUGCUCGAGUGGCGAACGGGUGAGUAACACGUGAGUAACCUGCCCUUGACUUUGGGAUAACUUCAGGAAACUGGGGCUAAUACCGGAUAGGAGCUCCUGCUGCAUGGUGGGGGUUGGAAAGUUUCGGCGGUUGGGGAUGGACUCGCGGCUUAUCAGCUUGUUGGUGGGGUAGUGGCUUACCAAGGCUUUGACGGGUAGCCGGCCUGAGAGGGUGACCGGCCACAUUGGGACUGAGAUACGGCCCAGACUCCGACGGGAGGCAGCAGUGGGGAAUAUUGCACAAUGGGCGGAAGCCUGAUGCAGCAACGCCGCGUGCGGGAUGACGGCCUUCGGGUUGGAAACCGCUUUCGCCUGUGACGAAGCGUGAGUGACGGUAAUGGGUAAAGAAGCACCGGCUAACUACGUG
rnacentral:rRNA from 1 species